UACGUAGGGCGCAAGCGUUGUCCGGAAUUAUUGGGCGUAAAGAGCUCGUAGGCGGUUUGUCGCGUCUGCUGUGAAAACCUAAGGCUCAACCUUGGGCUUGCAGUGGGUACGGGCAGACUAGAGUGCGGUAGGGGUGACUGGAAUUCCUGGUGUAGCGGUGGAAUGCGCAGAUAUCAGGAGGAACACCCGAUGGCGAAGGCAGGUCACUGG
rnacentral:rRNA from 1 species